GAUGAAGAACGUAGCGAAAUGCGAUAAGUAAUGUGAAUUGCAGAAUUCAGUGAAUCAUCGAAUCUUUGAACGCACCUUGCGCCCUUUGGCCAUUCCGAAGGGCAUGCCUGUUUGAGUAUCAUGAACACCUCAACUCUUUAUGGUUUUCCGUGAUGAGCUUGGACUUUGGGGGUCUUGCUGGCCUAUGGUCAGCUCCUCUAAAAUAAAUCAGCUUGCCAGUGUUUGGUGGGUAUCACAGGUGUGAUAACUAUCUACGCUUGUGGUUUUCCACCAGGUAACCUUCAGCAGUGGAGGUUCGCUGGAGCUCACAGAUGUGUCUCUCCUCAGUGAGGACAGCUCUUUGAAUGUUUGAUCUCAAAUCAGGUAGGACUACCCGCUGAACUUAAGCAUAUCAAUAAGCGGAGGA
rnacentral:misc_RNA from 1 species